AUGGCGCAUACAAAGAGAAGCGAACUCGCGAGAGCAAGCGGACCUCAUAAAGUGCGUCGUAGUCCGGAUUGGAGUCUGCAACUCGACUCCAUGAAGUCGGAAUCGCUAGUAAUCGUGGAUCAGAAUGCCACGGUGAAUACGUUCCCGGGCCUUGUACACACCGCCCGUCACACCAUGGGAGUGGGUUGCAAAAGAAGUAGGUAGCUUAACCUUCGGGAGGGCGCUUACCACUUUGUGAUUCAUGACUGGGGUGAAGUCGUAACAAGGUAACCGUAGGGGAACCUGCGGUUGGAUCACCUCCUUACCUUAAAGA
rnacentral:rRNA from 1 species